rnacentral:rRNA from 1 species
AUGGGGGACUGCGCCGUGGAGAACGGCCACGCCCACCCGAAGGAAGAGGACGCGCCGGAAGUGCCCGUCGAGCCCGCGGAGGGCGCCGCGGAGCCGCAGGUGGUGGCUGGCGGGCAGAGGAAGCAGAGAGGGAUACGCAGGGAGCCGUCGUUCUCGCGGUGGUGCAAGGACCCCUCCGCGGCGCCCAAUGCCCCCGCCGGCGCCGCUUCGCCGGCCUCUGCACCGAGCGACGAUGAUUCGGAGGAGUUCGAGCUGCCGCUUCUGCCGCCCGCCGCCGCCGCCCAUCGCUCGCCGAUGGAUAUCGAGGCAGGAGCGGCGGCGGGAUCUGACAGCGUCCCGGUCUCGCCGUGGCUGAUCGCCAAGAUUAUAUUUCUGAUAGCGAGUUGGUACACGCUGAGCACCUGCUUGACGCUGUAUAACAAGGAGAUGCUCGGGAAGCGCAUGUGGAAGUUCCCUGCCCCGUUCCUGAUGAACACGGUGCAUUUCACAAUGCAGGCUGUUGCGUCGAGGGUGAUCGUGUGGUUCCAGCAACGGGGCAUGGAGGCAGAGCGUAAUCCAAUGUCAUGGAAAGAUUACUUUCUGCGAGUUGUUCCAACAGCUUUGGCUACUGCUCUUGAUAUAAAUUUGACCAACAUUUCGUUUGUUUUCAUUACUGUGACAUUCGCUACAAUGUGUAAAUCUGGGGCUCCAAUUUUCAUUCUUCUCUUUGCUUUUCUAUUCAGGCUAGAGAAGCCGAGCUUUAACAUUCUUGGAAUCAUGCUGAUUGUUUCUGUUGGAGUUCUACUGACAGUUGCUAAAGAGACACAAUUUAAUCUUUGGGGAUUUAUAUUUAUUAUGCUUGCUGCUGUCAUGUCUGGUUUCCGCUGGUGCAUGACACAGAUUCUCCUCCAGAAAGAGGAAUAUGGAUUAAAGAACCCCUUCACCUUAAUGAGUUAUGUUACCCCGGUGAUGGCAAUAACAACUGCGAUUAUUUCCAUUGCCAUGGAUCCAUGGCAUGAAGUCAGAGCAAGUCACUUCUUUGAUAGUCCAGCUCACAUAUUAAGAAGCAUCUUAUUGAUGCUUCUAGGUGGUGCUUUGGCAUUCUUCAUGGUUUUGACAGAAUAUGUUCUGGUUUCUGUUACAAGUGCUGUAACAGUGACCAUAGCUGGGAUUGUCAAGGAAGCUGUCACAAUUUUGGUUGCUGUGCUUUUCUUCAAUGAUCCAUUUACCUGGUUAAAGGGAUUUGGACUUGCAACAAUUAUAUUUGGUGUCAGCCUUUUCAAUCUGUACAAGUAUCAUAGGUUCAAGAAAGACCGCCACAGCAAACAUGUUGACCCAAAUUCCCAUUCCUCCAAUGGUGCCUCAAAAUAUGUUAUCAUUGAUGAUGAUAUUGAAGAUCUGGAUGAUACAGGCUGA